rnacentral:rRNA from 1 species
CACGGGGAGGUAGUGACGAAAAAUAACGAUACGGGACUCAUCCGAGGCCCCGUAAUCGGAAUGAGUACACUUUAAAACUUUUCCCGAGGAUCAAUUGGAGGGUAAGUCUGGUGCCAGCAGCCGCGGUAAUUCCAGCUCCAAUAGCGUAUAUUAAAGUUGUUGCGGUUAAAAAGCUCGUAGUCGAAUCUGUGUCCCGCGCCGCUGGUUCAUCGCUCGCGGUGUUUAACUGGCGUGUCUCGCGGGACGUCCUGCCGGUGGGCGCUCGUAUCGCUUCGGUGGUGCGUGGCCCAACUCGUAGCCGUCUCGCGCGGUUGCGAAUCCCAUCGCGGUGCUCUUUAUUGAGUGUCGAGGUGGGCCGGCACGUUUACUUUGAACAAAUUAGAGUGCUUAAAGCAGGCCAAUUUUGCCUGAAUAUUGUGUGCAUGGAAUAAUGAAAUAGGACCUCGGUUCUAUUUUGUUGGUUUUCGGAACCCCGAGGUAAUGAUUAAUAGGAACGGAUGGGGGCAUUCGUAUUGCGACGUUAGAGGUGAAAUUCUUGGAUCGUCGCAAGACGGACAGAAGCGAAAGCAUUUGCCAAAAACGCUUUCAUUGAUCAAGAACGAAAGUUAGAGGUUCGAAGGCGAUCAGAUACCGCCCUAGUUCUAACCAUAAACGAUGCCAGCUAGCGAUCCGCCGACGUUCCUCCGAUGACUCGGCGGGCAGCUUCCGGGAAACCAAAGCUUUUGGGUUCCGGGGGAAGUAUGGUUGCAAAGCUGAAACUUAAAGGAAUUGACGGAAGGGCACCACCAGGAGUGGAGCCUGCGGCUUAAUUUGACUCAACACGG